rnacentral:rRNA from 1 species
GAUGAACGCUGGCGGCGUGCCUAAUACAUGCAAGUCGAGCGAGUGGAUUAAGAGCUUGCUCUUAUGAAGUUAGCGGCGGACGGGUGAGUAACACGUGGGUAACCUGCCCAUAAGACUGGGAUAACUCCGGGAAACCGGGGCUAAUACCGGAUAACAUUUUGAACCGCAUGGUUCGAAAUUGAAAGGCGGCUUCGGCUGUCACUUAUGGAUGGACCCGCGUCGCAUUAGCUAGUUGGUGAGGUAACGGCUCACCAAGGCAACGAUGCGUAGCCGACCUGAGAGGGUGAUCGGCCACACUGGGACUGAGACACGGCCCAGACUCCGACGGGAGGCAGCAGUAGGGAAUCUUCCGCAAUGGACGAAAGUCUGACGGAGCAACGCCGCGUGAGUGAUGAAGGCUUUCGGGUCGUAAAACUCUGUUGUUAGGGAAGAACAAGUGCUAGUUGAAUAAGCUGACACCUUGACGGUACCUAACCAGAAAGCCACGGCUAACUACGUGCCAGCCGCCGCCGUAA